rnacentral:rRNA from 1 species
UUAAAUUGAAGAGUUUGAUCAUGGCUCAGAUUGAACGCUGGCGGCAGGCUUAACACAUGCAAGUCGAACGGUAACAUAAGUGCUUGCACUUGAUGACGAGUGGCGGACGGGUGAGUAAAGUAUGGGGAUCUGCCGAAUGGUAGGGGACAACAGUUGGAA